rnacentral:rRNA from 1 species
AUUCGCGGCCUAUCAGCUUGUUGGUGGGGUAACGGCCUACCAAGGCUCUGACGGGUAGCCGGCCUGAGAGGGUGAUCGGCCACACCGGGACUGAGACACGGCCCGGACUCCUACGGGAGGCAGCAGUAGGGAAUCUUGCACAAUGGGCGAAAGCCUGAUGCAGCGAUGCCGCGUGAGGGAUGAAGGCCUUCGGGUCGUAAACCUCUUUCAGUAGGGAAGAAGCCUGGGGUAACCCAGGUGACGGUACCUGCAGAAGAAGCCCCGGCUAACUACGUGCCAGCAGCCGCGGUAAAACGUAGGGGGCAAGCGUUGCCCGGAUUCACUGGGCGUAAAGCGCGUGUAGGCGGUCCGUCAAGUCGGAUGUGAAAUCCUACGGCUUAACCGUGGAAUUGCAUCCGAUACUGGCGGACUUGAGGACGGUAGAGGCCGGUGGAAUUCCCGGUGUACCGGUGAAAUGGGCAGAUAUCGGGAGGAACACCAGUGGCGAAGGCGGCCGGCUGGGCCGAUCCUGACGCUGAGACGCGAAAGCCAGGGGAGCGAACCGGAUUAGAUACCCGGGUAGUCCUGGCCGUAAACGGUGCGGACUAGGUGUGGGGGGCGUCAUGCCUUCUGUGCCGAAGCUAACGCAUUAAGUCCCCCGCCUGGGGAGUACGGAAUCGUCGACCUGCAGGGCCCAC